CCCCCCCCCCACAACAAAGACCGACAGCCAAUCAGCGCCGGGGGGCGGGGCUUCCGCGUGGGGAAUCGGCCGAUGCGCCGCCUGAGUAAGAAAGUCUGGAGGGUGAUUGUCCUCCUCUGGAUCUUUGGACAGCUACUGCCACAACCAGAGAGCUAAGAGAAGAGCAGUUCAGAGACUGGAUUUAUCUGAAGAGACCAGAGACAACGGCUAUAAAAUAAGAUACCAAGUUUAAAGGAAGAGGUGCAAAUAUUAGAGAAAUGCAAGAAGGCAUUCCAGGGCUCUCUCUCUUCUGUGCCCCAGGCUGACUCAAUCACUGUGUUUUGAGACUGCUACUCUGGUGUUGGCCUUUUAACUUUGGUAUCAGAUCUUUUGAGUGGACAGGAUGUAUAC